CUUGCUACUUAACUUAGCGGCGGACGGGUGAGUAAUACUUAGGAAUCUGCCUAUUAGUGGGGGACAACAUUUCGAAAGGAAUGCUAAUACCGCAUACGUCCUACGGGAGAAAGCAGGGGAUCACUUGUGACCUUGCGCUAAUAGAUGAGCCUAAGUCGGAUUAGCUAGUUGGUGGGGUAAAGGCCUACCAAGGCGACGAUCUGUAGCGGGUCUGAGAGGAUGAUCCGCCACACUGGGACUGAGACACGGCCCAGACUCCUACGGGAGGCAGCAGUGGGGAAUAUUGGACAAUGGGGGGAACCCUGAUCCAGCCAUGCCGCGUGUGUGAAGAAGGCCUUUUGGUUGUAAAGCACUUUAAGCGAGGAGGAGGCUACUCUAGUUAAUACCUAGGGAUAGUGGACGUUACUCGCAGAAUAAGCACCGGCUAACUCUGUGCCAGCAGCCGCGGUAAUACAGAGGGUGCGAGCGUUAAUCGGAUUUACUGGGCGUAAAGCGUGCGUAGGUGGCCAAUUAAGUCAAAUGUGAAAUCCCCGAGCUUAACUUGGGAAUUGCAUUCGAUACUGGUUGGCUAGAGUAUGGGAGAGGAUGGUAGAAUUCCAGGUGUAGCGGUGAAAUGCGUAGAGAUCUGGAGGAAUACCGAUGGCGAAGGCAGCCAUCUGGCCUAAUACUGACACUGAGGUACGAAAGCAUGGGGAGCAAACAGGAUUAGAUACCCUGGUAGUCCAUGCCGUAAACGAUGUCUACUAGCCGUUGGAGUCUUUGAGACUUUAGUGGCGCAGCU
rnacentral:rRNA from 1 species